rnacentral:rRNA from 1 species
GACGAACGCUGGCGGCGCGCCUAACACAUGCAAGUCGAACGGAGCUGAGAGAAGCUUGCUUUUCUUAGCUUAGUGGCGAACGGGUGAGUAACGCGUGAGUAACCUGCCCUGGAGUGGGGGACAACAGUUGGAAACGACUGCUAAUACCGCAUAAGCCCACGAUCCGGCAUCGGAUUGAGGGAAAAGGAUUUAUUCGCUUCAGGAUGGACUCGCGUCCAAUUAGCUAGUUGGUGAGGUAACGGCCCACCAAGGCGACGAUUGGUAGCCGGACUGAGAGGUUGAACGGCCACAUUGGGACUGAGACACGGCCCAGACUCCUACGGGAGGCAGCAGUGGGGGAUAUUGCACAAUGGGGGAAACCCUGAUGCAGCGACGCCGCGUGGAGGAAGAAGGUUCUCGGAUUGUAAACUCCUGUCGUUAGGGACGAUAAUGACGGUACCUAACAAGAAAGCACCGGCUAACUACGUG